rnacentral:rRNA from 1 species
UACGAAGGGUGCAAACGUUGCUCGGAAUCAUUGGGCGUAAAGCGCACGUAGGCGGCCUCGCAAGUCUGAUGUGAAAUCCCUCGGCUCAACCGAGGACGUGCAUCGGAAACUGCGGGGCUUGAGUACUGAAGAGGAUCGCGGAAUUCCCGGUGUAGAGGUGAAAUUCGUAGAUAUCGGGAGGAACACCAGUGGCGAAGGCGGCGAUCUGGGCAGACACUGACGCUGAGGCGCGAAAGCGUGGGGAGCAAACAGG